GACGAACGCUGGCGGCGUGCUUAACACAUGCAAGUCGAACGGAAAGGCCCUGCUUUUGUGGGGUGCUCGAGUGGCGAACGGGUGAGUAACACGUGAGUAACCUGCCCUUGACUUCGGGAUAACUUCAGGAAACUGGGGCUAAUACCGGAUAGGAGCUCCUGCUGCAUGGUGGGGGUUGGAAAGUUUCGGCGGUUGGGGAUGGACUCGCGGCUUAUCAGCUUGUUGGUGGGGUAGUGGCUUACCAAGGCUUUGACGGGUAGCCGGCCUGAGAGGGUGACCGGCCACAUUGGGACUGAGAUACGACCCAGACUCCUACGGGAGGCAGCAGUGGGGAAUAUUGCACAAUGGGCGGAAGCCUGAUGCAGCAACGCCGCGUGCGGGAUGACGGCCUUCGGGUUGUAAACCGCUUUCGCCUGUGACGAAGCGUGAGUGACGGUAAUGGGUAAAGAAGCACCGGCUAACUACGUG
rnacentral:rRNA from 1 species